GCUGGAUUCGCUAGUAAUCGCGCAUCAGCCAUGGCGCGGUGAAUACGUUCCCGGGCCUUGUACACACCGCCCGUCAAGCCAUGGAAGCCGGGGGUGCCUGAAGUGUGCAGCCGCAAGGAGCGCCCUAAGGUAAAACCGGUGACAGGGGCUAAGUCGUAACAAGGUAGC
rnacentral:rRNA from 1 species